AUCAUGACAGGUGAGAGGGGGAUCUGAAGGGGGAAGCAAGGCCCAUUCUAGAGCCCCCUCUCCCCACCACCACCUGCCCAGAACACUGUGGGGUAAUAGCUUCAACUACACCCUUUUCUUCAUAGAAGUCCAAGGGCACAGAUGGGUCCCAGCUUGUUCCAAAGACACAUUCAGGAAGUUACAAAAUGAGCAUGAAGCCACGCCUUCUUCAUCAGAAGAGACUUGGCUGGCAGGUAACACCAGGGCCUGAUGUAGCAGCAGGCAGAGACUGAGCCAGAAUUUGACCGUUGGUAAAGCAAGUCCCUGAGGAAGGUUUGGCUACAGGGAGUGCUGUUUCCUGCUGCUGACAUCCGCAGGGAGAAGCUCUGGAGCCAGCAGUGCUCUUUUGGUUCUGCAGUUGAAGAAACCAAGCCAAGGAGGCCCAAUAGGCAGACUUCAGCAUGGAAACCAACCUCCAUCCAACUGAUGAAUGGGAGUCUACCAUCUAAUGCUCUGCAGCCACAGACCCAGCUAUGGGUCCCUUUCUUAUUACACAAUUGACUUAAGGCCACAGGAAUCUAGUGCAAUAAAUCAUUCAUGAAAAUAUGUAAAUCAGAUAACCAAUAGGAUGUCAGGCUAAAGCUGGCUUCUAUUGCCAUGACACCUCACUCUCACAGGCUUGGUCAGUGGUUGGACUUCACUGCUCUGGACCUUAGGACAGUAUUCCUGCCCACCUCCUCUCAUGUCCCCUGGUGAAUCCAGAUGAAUUCUAGAAUGUGUUCCAGCUGCUGCUAGCUGGAGGGAAUCACAUCCGACUUAGGAAAGUAUUGAGAUUGGGACAGGGUAAUCUCAGCUCCACGAAAGCCCACAACUCCAUUGUCUGGGCAGAGACUGCGGGCCCUCUCUUCCUUCUCUGGGUUGUGGAGAGAAUGCCUGAGUGGAGGUGAGAGAUGGAGAGGAUGUGGAGGGCGAAUGAGCUCCCCAGCAGGGCUGGCUCCCUCUGUUGGGCCAUGUACCUGGGGCUACUCCAGUCAUAGGCAAGAAGCAGGAUAUAAGUCUCUCCUAACUCCCCUGAGAUCUCUGGGGCUGGGGUGGGGAGAGGGAAGGUGGUCUCACCAGUGAGAGCUGGCCUACGGCUGUACACCAGGUCCCAUCCUAUAAUUCAAUGCAGCAGACAGCUGCCUCUGGGAUGUGACUAAACAGAAUAAAUUGACUAGACUCCUCAUGGCACCUCAGCUGUCUCUGUGCCUUAUUUGUCACCACUAUGACCAUUCAGCCCUCCCUGAGGAGGCCCCUUCAAAAUGUAUCUUUAGAUCUGAGAGGGAAGCCCUUGGUGGUGAUGAAGCCAGGUGUACACCUCAGCCCCUGUGUUAGGCAUCUGGGAUGGAGCAGAUGUGGGCGCUCAGAAGGGGACCUGGAGAAGAGAGUUGCAGGGAUAUAGGAAGGAAGCAGGGGAAGAAGAAGUGAAGAAGCAGAGUUAGAACUUCACAGCUGUGUCCCUAUACUGCCCCAAUCUUUCCAGCAGAACACUGGUUUACAACUUUGGCUGCACAUCAGAAUGAAGUGGGACAUGUACCCAAGACAGCCUCUUCCCAUCAAAACCCAGAUUCUGACUUCAGUGGUCAUCAGUAUUCUUUAUGGCUCCCUAGGGGGUUCAGAUGUAAGCCAGGGUUGGCCCUGCCCUCACCACCACCCUGAGGGUGUUUGUAGGCCUCACAGGCAGGCUGCUGCAUCAUUUAUUCCUAGGCUAAAUGUGGGCCCAGCUUCAGUCUGUGGGAAAAAGCAGUUUGUUUUUUAAAAAUCCCUCCACAUGGGGAGAAUUUGCAUCCCUAAAGUUCUGUGACUGUAGCCUGCGAGCUCUGUGAGGUAGAGACCACUCCUGCCUUGUUUUCUUGGGACCUCAGCAUCUCUUACGGAUAGCUUUUUAGGGGGUUUCCCUGGUGGUCCAGUCGUUAAGACUCUGACCUCUAAUGCAGAGGACUCAGGUUUGAUCCCUGGUUGGGGAACUAAGAUCCUGCAUACUGUGAGGCAACUAAGCCCAAGUGCCACAACUGCUGAGCCCUCACGCUCCAGAGCCCACACUCCACAACUAGAGAAGCCCGGGCAAUGCAAGGAAAGAUCCCACACGUCACAACAAAAAGAUCACGCACGCUGUGUCAAUAUCUGACACAGCCAAAUAAAUGUUGGAAAAAAAAAAGAAUGGCUGUUUGGUAUCAGAGUUUGCUUCAAACCCUGUUUUCCUGAAAUCUUUUGAGUUGGGGAAGCUCAUUGCUGCAAAUGAUCCUUAACUUCUUCAACAGAAAAAUGGGUUUAGCAACAACGAAGUUUACCUCACUGUGUUGUGAAUAUUGAGUGGGGUUGGUAUAGGAAAGAGCUUGGGAAAGCCUGAUUCAAAUGCAAAUUGUUUCACUGCCCCCUGGCUCUAACAAAUGAGCUAUUCAUCCUUUAUAAACCUUUUCAAAUAUCACUGUUCUGUGAAUUCUUCAGAAUAUUAACCACACACUGUACACAGAAUUCUAUAAGGCACAUAUCAC
ensembl:lncRNA